rnacentral:piRNA from 1 species
CAUGGUACAUACCCACCCACCUGCUGA